rnacentral:rRNA from 1 species
GAUUGCAGGCUGCAACCCGCCCUGCAUGAAGUCGGAAUUGCUAGUAAUCNCGGAUCAGCAUGCCGCGGUGAAUACGUUCCCGGGCCUUGUACACACCGCCCGUCACACCAUGGGAGCCGGUAAUACCCGAAGUCAGUAGUCCGACCUCGUGAGGACGCUGCCGAAGGUAGGAUUGGCGACUGGGGUGAAGUCGUAACAAGGUAAC